GUUUUGGUUUCACUUUGGGGAGAGGCAGCAUAGCCUAGGAAGUCUCUAAUCAACUUCCACUUCCCACACAAAAGUGGUCUUUGAACUACUGUGGGAUUUAGUCUGUGACUGGGGAGUACCAGCUCUGUGGAUACCAGUGAUCAAAGGGGCAGAGAACCAAUCCAGCACCAGUUACCUAGAGCCAGCCGAGACCUCUACUGGGCUCCAAAUCAGGGGGCCAGGGACUGAUCACCCCCAGCUGCAUCAUAUCAUCAUAUAAUAUUGCCCAGCUGUCAAUCUUACUUUCAUGAGCACUCAGCUCUAUUGGAAAAAACAAACCAUCUGGCAACUGCUGUUGAAGAAUUUAUCUAAAUAGGUGUCGUUUAGAAAGUCGGAGAACUGAAACACACCAACAUUAAGUGACUUGCUCCAGGUCACAAAGGAAGUAUGUGACAGAGACAAGAAUGGAACCCAGAACUCCUGAGUCCCUGCCUAUUUUCCUGACAGCAAGACCAACCUUCCUCCCUGAACACAACUUCCUGGGAUAAGUCUCAUGACUGAAAUAUUGGUAUAGAGGGGUAUAGACUGUUCAGGAAGAAAAAAAACAAGGAGGUUUUGCAUUAUACAUCAAGAAUAUAUACACUUGUUCUGAGGUUCAGAAGGAGGUGAGAGGCAGACUAGUUGAAAGCCUCUGG